CUACUUUGUAAGACCACUUCAGGCCUUAUUUAUUUGUUUGUUUGUUUAUUUAUUGAGGCUUGCAUGAUUAUGGCAGCACCUGCUCUGUCCAGGCUGGCACAGAGGCACCCGGAGGAGCAGCAUCCCCUCACACCUCAUUUCUUCAGAAACGGGGUGAGCGUGGAAGAGAAGGGGACACCAUGGUGGCAGUGCAGAGCCAGGGCAGAGAACGUUUGCUGAUGCGUUUGUGCAGGAGAAUAUCGGUCUGUUUGGUCAAAUGGGCUUCUGCUGUACAUACAGUGCUGAUGGUGUCCUAAUGGAUGAAGUGGAAAAAUAUUCUUAAAGGGGUACUUUGGCAGACGCAGCCAUUUGGAGUACGGCCUCUCAUGGCUGCAGGCUUGCUGCAAGGCUCGUGCGCCAUAUGGAAGGGAACAUUCCUCGUGGUUCGACGGGCACAAUCGUACCGUCUGCCAGCGGCCUUCUGCAGGCUGCACAGGAGCUGCAGGCAGGAUUGAGGGUUGGCUCCUGAGCUGUGCAGCAUGAUCAGGUGUCAGUUUACAUCAGGUAAGGAUUUGGUCUUUUGCCUUCAGCGUAUUACUACGUGAAAACUGUACCAGCACUUUUCAUUGAGCACCAUUAGCUGACUUUGGUAACCUAUGUCUUGGCACGACCAGCGGGAGCCCGCAGCGUGCUG
rnacentral:lncRNA from 1 species